GAAAAAUCAGGAUUCCCUUAUAAAGAAAGUGCAAUGUCUGAGGAAAUUUCAACUGUGAAAACUACAACAUAUUUACUAAAAUGCAUGAAUUUUCUUGUUUUUAGAAUUAUUCCUGGACUAUUCAGUAGCCACUCAGAUGCCACUGUGUGAAAGGGCCAUAAAUGUUGCCUGCUGCUUGAACAUCUAUUUUUUUCUCUUCCAGUGCUUGAUAACUCUGGGAGAUAAUACACUGCAGUCGUACUAGUGGUUAAGAUAUUUGGGAAUAAAAUUAAUACUUUUGACUAGAAGCGUCUAAGGAUAAACCAACAGAAAUUGAAUCUGGAUACAUCUUUAAGAUGUAAUCAGAAAUGACCAGAUGACUCUAGUUAGAAUUUUUGAAGGAGGGAUUACAUUAAUAUUUCAAAACCCUUACUCUGUAGAUAAGUGUAUUUUAAUUUUUUCCCCUCGUAUACUUUUAUUUACCUGGGGAAGGAGCUUUUAGGGUUGGGGGGUGGUUUGCUAUCUCUUUAGCUAGCAGAAUAGUGUGCCUUUGAUCCUCACACAUCCUGUAUUAUGGACACAGUAGCCAUGCUUCACGGGGAGGUCAGAGCUGGCUACCAGCAGUCUUGCCCUUUACUGAGCUUAGUGUCAUCUUUGGAUGCUGUCAUAUGCUGCUUUGAGUGAACCAGAGAAACAGCCAUUUGCAGCAUGAGAAAGCCCCAAAAGCUCUGGGAUUUACCUCCACUUCAGUAAUAAUGAAUAUUUUUUAGCAUUAGAAUGUGUUAUGUCAUUUGAAUUAAUUUUGACUACACUUUGGCUUGGGAGAGGAAUUAUUUUAAAUAGACAUUGGUACUUUUUGAACUUGAUAGCUAAAGAUUCUAAAAUGCAUGUUUUAUACUAAGUUUUAACCAGUCAGGAAAAUUUUAUGUAACUAGUGAUAGUUUAUUUUUUUGUAUGAAUUUUGUUUAGGCUGCAAUGUUUAGCUUUUGUUAACUCCUCACUCUUGCUGUCUUAAGUUCAUUACUAUGUUUAAUGGCCUACUUGCCAAGAUAUUUAGCAUGUAAAAAGCAGGGUUUUGAUUAAAAAAAAAAAACGGCUUCAUAUUGAAGCUGAGACUUACAAUAACAAGUUGAGUGGCAAGCCUGGUAUGCUGUGUCUUAUUGCCAGAAUCUUAGUAAAUGUAAUGUUUUAAAAGUUUGUUGUCUUUGUAUAUUA
rnacentral:lncRNA from 1 species